rnacentral:ncRNA from 1 species
GAUUUUUAUAAGAAAUCACAAGUUAAAAGGGAAACAGGUGUAAGUCCUGUACGAUCUCGUCACUGUAAACAGGGAAUGUAAAGUCAUGCGUGGAUGCGCAGCCACUGGAGAACCGGGAAGGCGACUUUUUAUGUGUUGAUCUGUAAGUCAGGAAACCUGCCUGCUGU